UAUGUAUAUGUAUAUUAUAUUAUAUAUUAUGUAUAUUGUAUAUAUAUAAUGUAUAUUAUCUCCUCAACACCGAAGGGUUAAUAUAUUUUGUAGAGUAACAUUAACACAAAUUCAUCAUCAGAGACUUUUUAUUAAUUUCUUCAUGUAAUUUCUCUCUUUCUAAGCCCUUUGAAUUGUACGUUUAGGAUAUCCACAUUAAAGUUUGCUUUUACUUCUGAUUUGAAUGGUGGCCCAUUGAGUCGUAACUAUGGAAAGUAACAAGUUAUGCAACAGGUCAAACGUGUCAUUUCCUUCAGCCACAGAUGUCUUGAGCAGUUAUUGCCCCAUUAAACUGGAACUCGCUGUGAAAAUAGACUUGAAACUACAUGAUUACAUUUGUGGAUUUAAAUCUCUGGAUGAAUUACUGUUGGCUGUAUUCCUUUAAAAUAAAACAUGUUUAAACAAGAGAAAUAAAGAGAAAUAUUGCAAGGGGCUGUAGCUUUCUGUGUAAUUUACAGGUCACUGGAUUAUAUGUCUGCUUGUAUUUCAUCUGGAAUCAGAGGAUGUUGCCUUCCUUGUGAAGCUUGAUAUAUUUCACUAGUAACUGUGAUUGAAAAGAAAAUCUGAUGAUCAUUUGAUACUACAGAUGGAGGCUAUCACUUGUGGGUUGACGCUUAUUCAACGAAGGAAAAUUCUGUGUCUUGCAAACAGCAGUGCCACUUCUUCUGAAUGUCUGCAGUGCCAGGCAGCUAGACAACAGACACCACAUCAGGUGGCAUUUAUAUAGCCUGAAUUGUGCGUUGGAUUUGAACAGAUGACCAUCGCGUGAAUACUGACAGUGUUAAAAAGCAGGUCAUCUGGCCCUUUCUGAUACAGAGAAUCAUGCACAUCACAGGAGCUGAAAGACUCAUCCUCAUUGGUGGUCUGCUGCAAGGUGUUCUGUGCCUCGACUUUGCAGCUCUGAUGCCUCAGAAUAUAAAGGCUCUGAGUGGAUCUUGUGUGAACAUUCCCUGCUCAUUUACACUGCCAUCUAGAUUUGAGUCGUUCCUCACAACUUCAUGUAAAGGAAUAUGGAGGAAAGGGUGGACAGAAGUACAGGUGUUUGAUUCUAGUCUCACAGGAACAGGCUUAAACACCAUUCAAGGGAAUCUAACUGGGAACAUGCAGCAGAAGGAAUGUACCACAAUCCUGAAUGACCUCACAUCUUAUCUCAAUGACUACUUUUCAUUUAGAAUUGAAUGUGACAAUGCUCUGAGAUAUAAUUUUCCAGAACUUGUCACAAUUUAUGUAAAAGAAAAUCCAUCCAAACCCACUCUAAGUCCAGCAACAGUAAAUGUGAUGGAGGGGACCUCAGUGAGUCUGAUCUGCUCUGCUGCAGCACC